rnacentral:rRNA from 1 species
CCUACGGGGGGCAGCAGUGAGGAAUAUUGGUCAAUGGGCGAGAGCCUGAACCAGCCAAGUCGCGUGAAGGAUGAAGGAUCUAUGGUUUGUAAACUUCUUUUAUACGGGAAUAAAGUUCAGGACGUGUCCUGUUUUGUAUGUACCGUUAUGAAUAAGCAUCGGCUAACUCCGUGCCAGCAGCCGCGGUAAUACGGAGGAUGCGAGCGUUAUCCGGAUUUAUUGGGUUUAAAGGGUGCGUAGGUGGUAGAUUAAGUCAGCGGUGAAAGUUUGUCGCUCAACGAUAAAAUUGCCGUUGAUACUG